CCGGGGAAACCCGGAUUAAUACCGCAUACGUCCUACGGGAGAAAGCAGGGGACCUUCGGGCCUUGCGCUAUCAGAUGAGCCUAGGUCGGAUUAGCUAGUUGGUGAGGUAAUGGCUCACCAAGGCGACGAUCCGUAACUGGUCUGAGAGGAUGAUCAGUCACACUGGAACUGAGACACGGUCCAGACUCCUACGGGAGGCAGCAGUGGGGAAUAUUGCACAAUGGGCGCAAGCCUGAUGCAGCAACGCCGCGUGAGGGACGACG
rnacentral:rRNA from 1 species